UGCAAGUCGAACGAACUUCCGUUAAUUGAUUAUGACGUGCUUGCACUGAAUGAGAUUUUAACACGAAGUGAGUGGCGGACGGGUGAGUAACACGUGGGUAACCUGCCCAGAAGCAGGGGAUAACACCUGGAAACAGAUGCUAAUACCGUAUAACAGAGAAAACCGCCUGGUUUUCUUUUAAAAGAUGGCUCUGCUAUCACUUCUGGAUGGACCCGCGGCGCAUUAGCUAGUUGGUGAGGUAACGGCUCACCAAGGCGAUGAUGCGUAGCCGACCUGAGAGGGUAAUCGGCCACAUUGGGACUGAGACACGGCCCAGACUCCUACGGGAGGCAGCAGUAGGGAAUCUUCCACAAUGGACGCAAGUCUGAUGGAGCAACGCCGCGUGAGUGAAGAAGGGUUCGGCUCGUAAAGCUCUGUUGU
rnacentral:rRNA from 1 species